GGGGACGGAAUUCCUGGUGUAGCGGUGAAAUGCGCAGAUAUCAGGAGGAACACCGGUGGCGAAGGCGGUCUGGGCCACUGACGCUGAGGAGCGAAAGCGUGGGAGCRAACAGGAUUAGAUACCCUGGUAGUCCACGCCGUAAACGUUGGGCCUAGGUGUGGGGCCCUCCACGGUUCCGUGCCGAGCUAACGCAUUAAGGCCCCGCCUGGGGAGUACGGCCGCAAGGCUAAAACUCAAAGGAAUUGACGGGGGCCCGCACAAGCGGCGGAGCAUGUUGCUUAAUUCGAUGCAACGCGAAGAACCUUACCUGGUACCGGAAACCAGAGAUGYGGGUCCGAAGGGCCAAGGUGGUGCAUGGUGUCGUCAGCUCGUGUCGUGAAUGUUGGGUUAAGUCCCGCAACGAGCGCAACCCA
rnacentral:rRNA from 1 species